rnacentral:tRNA from 1 species
GGUGAGGUGACUGAGCUGGCUUAAAGUAUCAGUUUGCUAAACUGACGUAUAGGUAACUAUACCAUGGGUUCAAAUCCCAUCCUCACCG